rnacentral:rRNA from 1 species
AACGAACGCUGGCGGCAGGCCUAACACAUGCAAGUCGAGCGAGGACUUCGGUUCUAGCGGCGGACGGGUGAGUAACGCGUGGGAAUGUGCCCUUCUCUACGGAAUAGCCCUGGGAAACUGGGAGUAAUACCGUAUACGCCCUAUUGGGGAAAGAUUUAUCGGAGAAGGAUUAGCCCGCGUUGGAUUAGGUAGUUGGUGGGGUAAUGGCCUACCAAGCCGACGAUCCAUAGCUGGUUUGAGAGGAUGAUCAGCCACACUGGGACUGAGACACGGCCCAGACUCCUACGGGAGGCAGCAGUGGGGAAUCUUAGACAAUGGGGGCAACCCUGAUCUAGCCAUGCCGCGUGAGUGAUGAAGGCCUUAGGGUUGUAAAGCUCUUUGAGCUGGGAAGAUAAUGACGGUACCAGCAGAAGAAGCCCCGGCUAACUCCGUG